UACGUAGGGGGCAAGCGUUGUCCGGAUUUAUUGGGCGUAAAGAGCGUGUAGGCGGCUAGAUAGGUCCGUUGUGAAAACUCGAGGCUCAACCUCGAGACGUCGAUGGAAACCAUCUGGCUAGAGUCCGGAAGAGGAGAGUGGAAUUCCUGGUGUAGCGGUGAAAUGCGCAGAUAUCAGGAAGAACACCAAUGGCGAAGGCAGCUCUCUGGGACGGUACUGACACUGAGACGCGAAAGCGUGGGGAGUGAACAGG
rnacentral:rRNA from 1 species